rnacentral:lncRNA from 1 species
UCCUUAUAGGGUUGUUAUCAGAUGUUCAAACUAUUCUUCAUUUUUGACUGUGAGUGUGUGUGUGUGUAUGUGAGUGUGUGUGUGUUUUCAUAGAGAAGCAAAGAGCAGUGUGGCAUGAACUAACAUCUCCACGAAAAAAUGAAAAAUGUGAUACUAUAGUAUUUACUAAUGUGUGUGUUUCUUAGCUUUGAUCCUGGGUCCUGAGAAUCUCAAGAUUGGACAUCAAAAGUAACAGUUCUCUUAUCACUGUCUGCCCAUGCCUGCCAUUUCUGAUCUAAUAUGUUAGAGUUGACAUAAUAUACCCAUCAUUUUUUUUUUUGAAGACUUAAUAAUUGCCUGCGUUUUGUUAGCAGUAACUAUGGUACCAGAACUGUUUUACCAGCCAAGCUUGUGCACUUCUGGUAUCCCAGCACCCGAGAUGUUGAGGCAGAGGCAGAGGAUCAUGGGUUUGAAACCAGCUUGGGGUACUCAGUGAGUUUGAGACAAGUCUGAACUGUAGUGUGAGAGCUUGUCUCAAAGUUUGGUCAUCAUGUUAGUGUUGGGUGUAUGCUGUGUGGCUAGGAGACUCUGGUCUGGGAAGAAACAGCAUGAAGAGUGGACCUGAUGGCACUGAGUAGCAGGUCAUUGCAUGGCUUUGCAGAUGACUUGUUACAUGGAUUUCUUUGCUUGAAAAACCACAAUAUUUACCUCUUGAUUUAUUCGUGGUUUCCACAACUCUUCUAUAAUACCUCUUAAUUUCCUCUAUUAGAAAGUAUUUUGUUCUUGUUAAACAAGACCCUAAAAGCAUUGAUCAUAAGAAAUAGAGAAAAUGUAUUAGGAACAGCCUGUAUCAGUGUGUUCUGAUCGGAAACAGAACAAUUCAUCAUUGAUAUUUUAAUAAAUAAAGUUUCCAAAUGAUCUC